CCUUGCAGAGCUGUUAGACUAAAUAAGCAUUUAGCCAGAGCCUCGCACCAUAGAAGAUGCUGAAGAUAUGAAACUGGAUGGAACUGGAGACAUUUUGUUGUUUUAAGUGUAAAUCUACAAGAACAAAGAGAACAGGAGAUGAGAAAACAAUAGAAUUUGAGAAGCAGGAAAGCAGGACUCAAGGACAUAAAUUUCCAAACUGAAGAGGCCCAGUGAGCACUGAGGACAAGGUGUGAAAGCAAUUUCACAGCAAGGGAUGCUGUUGUGAAGUUUCAGCAAAAUAAGAACAAAGAGA
rnacentral:lncRNA from 10 species